rnacentral:rRNA from 1 species
AUACGGAGGGUGCAAGCAUUAAUCGGAGUUAUUGGGCGUAAAGGGAGCGUAGGCGGAUAUGAAAGUCAGAUGUGAAAUUCCGGGGCUUAACCUCGGAGCUGCAUCCGAAACUUCAUGUCUUGAGGGUCGGCGGAGAAAACGGAAUUCCAAGUGUAGCGGUGAAAUGCGUAGAUAUUUGGAAGAACACCUGUGGCGAAAGCGGUUUUCUAGCUGAUUCCUGACGCUGAGGCUCGAAAGCAAGGGGAGCAAACAGGAUUAGAAACCCCAGUAGUCC